GCACUUACUUGGCUGGGGAGAUACCAUGAUCACAAAAGUGCUUUUCCCAGGGGGAAGCUAAUCCAUUGCACUCUGGAUGUGCUGACCCUUGCAAUUUCCUCAAAUGUGGGAAACCCAAAUGCUUAAUUUGUGGUAGCAAGUUACUGCGUUCAUGUUCCCUUC